CCUGCCCCAUUUCCCUCCCCGGAGCCCGGGAGCUCGCAGCUGUCUCCGCCGGACUUCCACCUAGAAGUGGCGACGGGGCUCGGCGGCAUCGGAGCGAGACAGGCAGCGAGCCGGAGAGAGAAACGGGGCGGGGGUGGGCGAGCACCGAGUGGUAAUUUCCUUCCCCCGGGGCUUCGGGGCUUUGGGGUCCAGCUGGGGAAGCCGAACGGAAAGGAGGCUCCCGCGCAGCGUGUUCCCAUUCCCACCGCUAGGGCGUCGCUUCGGGAAGCCCGGCGCGCCCCAGCCGUACAGGUGGGGAGGAAGGGAGGGUACCUGCCCUGCGAGGAGCGGAGGGGAGGACCCGGGCGCCGCGGAAGUGCCGGGAGAAACCGGCGGAACGGGGCCUGCAGCUUGCCCUCCCUGCAGUCUGACCUUCCCCGUCCAGGGUGCUUCCCCCUCCCCCAACCUGACCUCUAAGGUUGCUAUUCUGUUAAAAGCAUGCCUGUGACACUGUGAUCUUUCUAAUUGGUGGCAGGUUUAAGGUUGCCCUGUCUUCAGACGUAUAUGUCUUUCUUUCUUUCUUUCUUUUUUUAAAGCCUGUAACAGCUGUGACCGGACAAUAUUAUGUCUGAUGACAAUCUGUAAACUAGGAAUCGAAUGAUAGGUUUUAUACACCUCUUGAAAGUUUCACGGGAAGAAAGGAAUCCCUUAGACACAACCGUGUACUUGUUUAUACGUUUUAGUUCCCACGUGCAUGCUCUUUACGUGAUUCUUUACAUCUGACAAACUGGUAUAUUUGCAUACCUUUAUGUUAUUAUAUGUGCCAACUGUUGUAAGGUGCAAGCCAUUUUUGAUGGGUCUAAAAGCUUGCGUUCCGAAAAAAUAACGUGAAAUUAAUUAAGAAAUUAACUUUACGGUUUAAAAAUUAAAAUAUUUCAAUAAACUGUAGUAGAGAGGUUAAGUGAAAGAGCGUCCUAAAAGAGGCUCUACUGUGGUAUUAGCAUCAUGUAACACAUCUGUGUUAGCCCCUUCAACCAGUUGAUAGAAUAAUAUUUGGUAGGUAGUAAAAAUUAAAUUGAUACUUAGGACCAAUACUUUACUAAAUGCUCUUUAAGGUAUAUAUCCAUUGUAGCAACCAAAAAGAUUGCUGAAACGAAGUAACAUACUAAAUACUUAGUAAUAUGCUGUUUGUCUCUUAUGGACAGACAUCAGUAUUUAUUCCUUCCUGUGCAUAAUAUAUGCCUUGCAGUGUAUCUCUACGUAUGAAAAGAAAAAAAAAAGUAGCUUAUUUGGAUUACAAUAUCAGAACCAUAUAUGAAAAAGUUCCUUUUUAAUAUUUUACUUAAUAUUAAUCAAAUCAGUUCGUUUAAAUCCAUCUGGAUUUUAGUUUAAACAAUUUCAUGAAUCAGUUAUGCCUCUGAAUGACUAGCUUUUACAAUUGCUCACACAGAGAAUAGUGUAAACAUUGAGUAAUAGUGAAACUACUUAAAGUCUGUAGCUUUCAAUCACCAGAUGAAGAUUAAACUUUAGUUUCAGCCUUAAUUUAUGGCAUGCUAGUAAUUUUAUUAACUCCAUUAGUCUAAUCUGGCCAUAAAACCCUAGCAUAAUAUUUCAUAACUGCUGAAGGCAUUUGGAGUGCUUACCCAUUUUUUCUGUCCUCUUUCUGGUUUUAGGUGUAGGGGAGGAUUAUACUCUCCACCCCACUGAAAUUAGGUAUCAUGAUGUAACUUGCUUUAGUAAGUAAAUGUGAGCAGACAUGAAAUGUUUCAUUUCCUGGUAGAAUCACUUAAGGGCCAGUGCUGGAUUUUCUAUGCUCUCUUCCCUUGCUGCUGCAAUCAUGGAAGUUUAUAUUAAGACGGAGGUGGCACAGGACUGAAGGAUUCUGGCAUGCAGUACAAUAGUACAAUCCUGAGCACAGCCGUCCUGGAGAGCCCAGAACCUACAACAGAAUCUGCAUAAAGCAAGAAAUAAACUUGUGUUGGGUGAUUCUCCAGUCUGCUUUCUCCUUGGGUUUCCAUUGUGACCGUUAACUGCUGAAACCGAGCCCAGAACCGAGGAUCACAGGAUCUGAACGUUGCAAGUGAUACCAAAGAGGUGAGGAAAGUGAGGAUCAGAAAGGUUAAAUCACUUGUUUAUGAGAAUAAGGACAACGCUGAGAUUCAUCCUUCUAACUCUGGACUAAGAUCUCAAGCCCUGUCACACUUGUGGCUGAGGAAACCCAGUCUCCCUCACCGAGAUACAACUUCUUGUGGCUCACCCUCAUAGUCAAGAGUUCUCGACGUUAGAAUGAGGAAUACUCUCCCUUCUCUGGAUACCAGACCCUUGCUAAAUUUAAAUUAAAUUGUAUGACUCAGUUAUCGCUUAGUUCUAAAUAGAGCAUACUCCUUUCAUUAAGUUUUUUUUUUUUAUUAAGUUUUUAAUGUUAACAAAGUAAUUACAUGUUCAUCUUCAUUAAAGUAAAAUGUAUUUUAGGCUGCUCUUCAGUCUAAUUAAAGCGCAUGUCUAUGACAGUGAAUAUUUUGUUUAAUCAACUACUUAAUCUAGAAGCAACAGAAGGAGUAUUGUCGGUGACUUCCAUCCAUUAAUCUAUUAGGUUGUCCUCUUUAUGCAUUCAAAUAUAAAUACUAUGCUCAGGCUUUAAACAUUUAUUGCCAAGAUAUUCCUACUUAUUUCUACUCUCCACCCCCCCCCCAUUUGUUUAUGACAGAUAUAAACUGAAAGCACAUUUCCAUGCUAAAAACUUUCUGACAUUCAUUAGGGCUCUUUACAUACAAACUAGAAAUCAACAGGAUGUCUUAAGUCUUCCUAAUUUGUAACAUUGUUUCUACUACAGUUACAAAAUAUUUUGCUAUUAUGAGCUAAUGAAAAUA